UUGAAAGGGAAACGAUUGAAGUCAGUCAUACCAACGGGAAAUCAACCUUUUGAGCUUAGUUUCGUGGGUUUUGAAGAGUUUCAAAGCCUUCGGAUUCGCGAGAUUGGGAUCUCUUGGUGUACUUUUUCGUACGGUUAGUCAACAUCGGUUUUGAAUGUCAUAAAAUGACUGGAGGAAUGUAGCUUCGAUCUCGUAUUGAAGUGUUAUAGCCUUUGGUAGAUGUGGUGAUUGGGACUGAGGAUUGCAACGAAUACCCUUUGGGCUAUCCGUCUGGCCUCUGAAAGUUGCUCAGUUGCCGAAAGCGUGCUUACGGUCAUCUAAGAUAACGUUCAACAGGUUAGAACGUGAUUACAUUCGUUAAGGAUGUUGACGUA
rnacentral:rRNA from 1 species